UCAAACAGACUCGAUUAAAUCACACGGCAAAACACGUAAUUAAAUAAACAACCCUAGGCAAUAAUAAAAUCAACACGACAUCACGAAAACACUGACAAACACAAUCACAAAUAAUCGGACAAUACGAAAACUCUAAUAUAUUCGAAAUACAGUCAAAAUACCGACAAACAAACAAUUAAAUAGAUAAAAACGCACAAAACCUAAUCGAAGCGAUGCCACGCACAAAAGAGAUAAGCGAGAUAAAUACGAGGCAAC
rnacentral:lncRNA from 1 species